rnacentral:rRNA from 1 species
UACGUAGGGUGCAAGCGUUAAUCGGAAUUACUGGGCGUAAAGCGUGCGCAGGCGGUUAUGUAAGACAGGUGUGAAAUCCCCGGGCUUAACCUGGGAACUGCAUUUGUGACUGCAUAGCUAGAGUACGGUAGAGGGGGAUGGAAUUCCGCGUGUAGCAGUGAAAUGCGUAGAUAUGCGGAGGAACACCGAUGGCGAAGGCAAUCCCCUGGACCGAUACUGACGCUGAGGAGCGAAAGCCAGGGGAGCAAACGGG